CGUGGCCUCGUGGUGAAGACGCCAGGCUGAUGACCCGACGGUCGUUAGUUCAAGCCCG
rnacentral:tRNA from 11 species